GAGCAGCGAGGAUAGCAACGCAUUCUAUGAUGCUUGGGCGCAUCAUGACCAUCUGAUUAUCGGAUGACAUCAGCUGUUCUGAGCUC